rnacentral:lncRNA from 1 species
AAAACUCCCACAGAAUUCAAAACAACUUUAAUAAGUAUAUGAAGCAUAUAUCUUUUAAAAAUUUUAAAUCUUUGUUAAUAACAGAGAAAUAAUAAUUUACAGAAUAUAAUUAAUAAUGCACUUAAAGUUGACGUUCUUGUUCAGAUUCUUCCUGGAAAAUGCCAAGAAGAUAAAUAUGCACAGGAAAGAGAACAAAAAAGGCAGAAAGGCAAUGUCAGAAGUGAAGAGGAGGAAGGAACAAGAACAGAAACGGGAAAAGAUCAGUAGGAACAAAUGGAAAAAGCGAAGGUGGAUCUGGAAAAGGAACAACAGAAGAGCACGGAGGAUAUGUGGUUAGUGAGGAUAAGGUUUUCAUUUGAGAAGGGAACAUUUGAAUGGAAUGAUGACAGAACUACUGUUAUCUUUGCUUUUCUUUUGCAAGCCAGGAAAAAACAUAGACAACAACAAAGCAUCUUCUAACAUUACAGAAGACUAACAACAGAGUGUGAAGAAGCAGCAAACCUGCUUCAGCACUCCCGGGCAAAUUCCAAACGAGAGUAUAACAACACAAACCUUUUAAUCUCAAACAUAUGUAUAGAUAAAGUUCCAUCUUUUAGCAGCAUAUUAGAUAUUUCUUAAUUUUAGUAUUGCAUGUAUGUCUACUAAAUUAACUUUUAAAAAACAUUUUAAUCCAUUUGUCAUUACUCUGUAUUCUGACUUUUCAAAGUCUUUGUUGAUAAUGAAAAAAAUCAGUCUCAACAGUGAAUCAAAGUCAUUAUGCAAAUUUAAGUUUUCAACUUAUUGUACCUAGCUUACAGUGAGUUCAUGAAGGUGAUAUUCCACACUUUCCAAACAACACUAAACCCACUACUGAGUGUUUUGCCUGACAAAAACCUCACAUGGUUAUAAAGAUCUCGUAGCAAUGUAGGUUAUUCCUUAAUGAUAUAAGCAUAUUAUACUAAAAAAAAAGUCAUUAAGAGCACUUUUGUUCUUUACCUGUGCUGACAUAGCUUUAGGAAAAAGCCCAAACCCAACCAAUACUUGAGGCAAAGCUCUAGGAAACCGAUCAGUAUCUUUAUACUUACAAGCUCGUAUAAUGUUUACAUUCCUAAACAGCUCAUGAGAUGCUCUGCUUACACAAAACAGCGCAUUUGACACCAUCUCACGGCUUCGCGUCCAUCGGGUAAUUUGUCAUUGGAACGGCAUUUCCCGGGAACAACAGCG